rnacentral:rRNA from 1 species
UACGUAGGGAGCAAGCGUUGUCCGGAAUCAUUGGGCGUAAAGCGCGCGUAGGUGGCCUCAUAAGUCCGCUGUGAAAGUCAAAGGCUCAACCUUUGAAAGCCGGUGGAUACUGUGGGGCUAGAGUACGGAAGAGGCGAGUGGAAUUCCUGGUGUAGCGGUGGAAUGCGCAGAUAUCAGGAGGAACACCAAUAGCGAAGGCAGCUCGCUGGGACGUUACUGACACUGAGGAGCGAAAGCGUGGGGAGCGAACAGG